CCAUUUUUGUCCGACCGGGCCCGUUCCCACGGGCCGUUCCAGCGGCUGCCGCCCCCCGCUCGAGCCCACUCUCUCCGAGCCCCCUCCCCCGGGUCCCCCCCCGACCCUCCUCCCAGCUCAGCCCCGGGGCUGGACAGGCUCCCGGGGGGGGGGUUUCGUUGCCUCGGGAGGGGGGUAAAGCUUGUCCUUCCUGCCAGACCUCCCCCUCCAACACCCUGCUCCCCGCAAGCUGCCGGUGGGGAGGGCGCGCCGGAGCUGGGGAGGGGUGGGGAUGAUGCUCCCGGGCUCGUCGCGGGUGUGGAGGAAGGAGCGGGUGCCCCUCGGGGUGGUCCCCAGCCCGCAGGAGUGUUUUGGGGGUGGGUGAGGAGGGGGUCGGGCCGGGGGUGAUGCUGUUUUGGCGCUGCUGGAGCCCCUCAUCGUGUCCACGGGUCGGGUCUGGCAGGAGAGGAAGACGCAGGUGGUCUCCAACCAGCGGCGAAUCCCGCAGCCUCUCCAGAGCCCUCCCGACACCGCUCCCACCCGCAAACCCCGGGGGCAUCCUCGGAGCUCCGAUCUCCUCCAUCCCACCGCUCCUUCCCGGGAAACGACCCAGGUGAGGAGGAGGAAGAGGGAGGUCUGAGCCUUUCUCUCCCACCCCGGGAUCACCCAGAGCACAGGAAAGCUCCCAGGCACCUGACCAGGAAAAUCAAGGUGUUGACCCAGGUGUGUGCUGGUGCUGGCAGUCCUGGCAAGGGUUAAUUCACCCAUUUUUUUGGGGAAAAACCUUUGGGAUUGGUGCUGCUGGACUGGUGGUGGGAUGGCAUCUGCUAAACCUCUCCCUGUCCCCUGGGGUCUUGUCCCUUGGGGGCUUUGGGGAGGAAGGGGGACAGUUGAGGUGCUGGAACACAACUGGGCCCGCUGGGAGCAACUGCUGGGGAGGAAGGAGGGUGUUCCCAUCCUGACCCCGUCCCUACAACCACUCCCAUGGAUCACCCUGGAGCAGUGCAUCCCUCAGUGUCUCAGCCGAGGCUGAGAACAUUCCACAUCGUAGAGUUAAUUUUCCCUUCCUGCCAGCUCUUCCCUAUUAACGCCAGGAUCUUGUGGGUGGUGCAAAACCCGGUAAUUAUCUGCUUUUUACUAUAAAAGAUGGAAUUCUCCUCCCCAGCCAGUGCGGAGACUACGCAGAGAGAAUCCCUGGGAAUGCUGGGGUUAAGUUUCCAUGGGUGAGAUCCCUCUCCCUGAGGGCAGGAGGAGCAGGAGCUGGGAUUUGCCAAGGGCAGGUGCUCUGGAUGAAGUGGGACACUGCUGGGGAUGAGGUGGAUGGGCAGGUCUGGCUGCCCUGCCCAGGGUGACAGAGUGACACAAACCCAGCCACCAGGUGGGGUUGAAUCCAGUGAGGAAUCAACACUUCCAGGCCACGGAGAGGCUGCCACGGACUUUUUGCCUGCUUGGGAGCCAUCCCAAGGUCUGCAGGGCUCAAGAUCCCGCCGGGAGAAUGUGCCCCUUGCUCAGAUCCCAGGGGAGAACGUGCCCCUGCUCCUGCGUGGCAGUUAAAUACAUAUAAAUAUAUAUAUUCUAUAUAUUUAGCAUCCCUGCUCCGGGUAACCGUGGCAACGGGGUUUAUUUUGCUUAAACCUGGCCCGGCAUGUGAUGCAGUUGGGAAGGAACAGCCGAGGGCAGAGGGAGGGAUGAAGUUUUCCAUGCUGGGAGCUGGGGAGGAGCCGUGGCACGGGAUGUGGCACGGGAUGCUCUCGGGGGGCCUCGCUCUGUCCCUCCAAACAGCCCCACUGGGGCAUUCCCAUGGCCUGCCAGGGCUCUGUCCCAUUCCCUUUGCUUCAGCCAGG